rnacentral:rRNA from 1 species
CCUAUCUCAGUUCGGAUUGGAGGCUGAAACCCGCCUCCAUGAAGUUGGAUUCGCUAGUAAUCGCGCAUCAGCCAUGGCGCGGUGAAUACGUUCCCGGGCCUUGUACACACCGCCCGUCAAGCCAUGGGAGCCGGGGGUGCCUGAAGUUCGUUACCGCAAGGAUCGACCUAGGGCAAAACUGGUGACUGGGGCUAAGUCGUAACAAGGUACC